rnacentral:lncRNA from 1 species
AGAAGCAAGAAAGAGCUCAUGGAUCAAGCGAUGCAAAUUCCUCCACAAGUUUCAAGCUUCAAGCAUCAAGUUCAAGAACGAAGAACGAAUCAAGGUCAAGUUCAAGCAAUCAAGCUCAAGCACAAAAAGAAGAUCAUCGUUCGUGGCAACAAACAUAGAUUCGAGAUCAAGCUCAAAGGCCCUCGAAUUUAUUAAUAUUGAAAAGAG